GGUUCAUUCAAAUUUCUGCCCUAUCAACUUUCGAUGGUAGGAUAGUGGCCUACCAUGGUUUCAACGGGUAACGGGGAAUUAGGGUUCUAUUCCUGGGGAGGAGCCUGAGAAACGGCUACUACAUCCAAGGAAGGCAGCAGGCGCGCAAAUUACCCAAUCCUGACCAGGCGAGGUAGUGACAAUAAAUAACAAUACAGGGCCCUUUGGGUCUUGUAAUUGGAAUGAGUACAAUUUAAAUCCCUUAACGAGGAACAAUUGGAGGGCAAGUCUGGUGCCAGCAGCCCUGGUAAUUCCAGCUCCAAUAGCGUAUAUUAAAGUUGUAGCAGUUAAAAAGCUCGUAGUUG
rnacentral:rRNA from 1 species